UUACGACCACAUCACGUUGAAAACACGGUUCCUGUAAAAUCAAAGAAGUUAAGCAACGUUGAGCCUGGGCAUACCUCAGUGGGUGACCACUUGGGAAUACCAGAUGCUGUAUG